GGUGUGGAGUUCAGGAGGGAAAUGCAAAGACAUUCAGCUGCUGUACGCCAAUUAUUUCAUUACAGGGGUCAGACAGAUCCUUUGAAGGGGGAUGCCCUUAAUAAGGCUGUGAGGGACACUGCUCAUGAGGCUAUCUCUGCUAUUUUUUCAGAGGAGAAUAAGCCAACAACUACUGAAGAUCUUAACGAACGGAUACAAGGAUUUGGGAAUACAAAUUUUGAAAUGCCAUCAGAAGAUAGGAAAUCGUUUCUUAGUGAGGUAGUUGGUAUUGGAAGUGCAUCUAUUAAGCAGGGACUUAGUAACUUCACACAAGGCCAUUCAUUACGAAAGAAUGACAAUGGAAGCUACAAAGGUCCUAAUCUUCGUAGGUCAUUGACCAUAGAAAAUGAUCACGCAGAUAGAUAUGAACCAGUUCAGUUACGCAAUGAAACUCAGGGUAGUUUUGGAGUUUUGAAGAAUGCAACUAGUGGACCUUGGGGCCAGGACAGUAGGGUCUCAAAUGCUGAGACAAAAAAUGGGGGCUCCAGUUCAAGUUAUACAGAGAGUAAGACUCGUGAGGAGAGAUUAUUGGAGACUAUUGUAACAUCUGGUGGCAUACGUCUACAACCCACCCGUGAUGCCAUUCAAGUUUUUCUAUUAGAGGCAGCAAAGUUGGAUGCACGUGCCCUAAGUCAUGCCCUUGAAUCUAAGCUCCAGUCUCCUGUGUGGCAGGUUUGCAUGAAAGCUGUGUGUGUGCUUGAGUCAAU
rnacentral:misc_RNA from 1 species